UCAGUCACAGUCAGCACACAGCAUGGACAUCAGAGCCCCUGCUCAGCUCCUGGGGUUCCUGCUGCUCUUGCUCCCAGGUGCCAGAUGUGACAUCCAGAUGACCCAGUCUCCAUCACUAUCUGCAUCUCUAGGAGACAGAGUCACCAUCACUUGCAGGGCAAGUCAGGGCAUUAGCAACUAUUUACAUUGGUAUCAACAGAAACCAGGGAAAGCCCUUCAGUUCCUCAUCUAUAGAGCAACAACUUUGCAACCUGGAGUUCCAUCCAGGUUCAGUGGCAGUGGAUCUGGGACAGAGUUUACUCUCACCAUCAGCAGCCUGCAGCCUGAAGAUGUUGCCACUUAUUACUGUCAACAAGGUUACAGUGAUCCUCCCACAGUGAUACAAGCCAUAACAAAAACCUCCAAGGGAAGCAGAAGUGAGAGGCUGGGCUGCCCCAGCUACUUCUCUGGGGGCAUCCAUUUGUGGAGAGUGCUUCUCAGCUGCUGCCAGAUACUGAAGGCCGCUGAGAUGUUUUGGUAG